ensembl:snRNA U2 U2 spliceosomal RNA
AUUGCUUCUCAGCCUGUUGGCUAAGAUCCACUACAGUAUCUGUUCUUGCCAGUUUAAUAUCUGAUAUGUCCUCUAUUCAAGGACAACAUAUUAAAUGGAUUUUUGGAAUAGAAAGAUGGAGCUGGAGCUUGCCCCAUCCCCAGUCCUUGCAUCAACCUGGUAUUACAGCACCUCCACCCCUACCCAGGCAAUUUAAAAUUACC